rnacentral:rRNA from 1 species
GAUGAACGCUAGCGGCAGGCCUAACACAUGCAAGUCGAGGGGUAGAGUUAGCUUGCUAACUUGAGACCGGCGCACGGGUGCGUAACGCGUAUGCAAUCUGCCUUGUACUGAGGGAUAGCCCAGAGAAAUUUGGAUUAAUACCUCAUAGCAUUAUGAAAUCGCAUGGUUUUAUAAUUAAAGUUCCAACGGUACAAGAUGAGCAUGCGUCCCAUUAGUUAGUUGGUAAGGUAACGGCUUACCAAGACAAUGAUGGGUAGGGGUCCUGAGAGGGAGAUCCCCCACACUGGUACUGAGACACGGACCAGACUCCGACGGGAGGCAGCAGUGAGGAAUAUUGGUCAAUGGGCGCAAGCCUGAACCAGCCAUGCCGCGUGCAGGAUGACGGUCCUAUGGAUUGUAAACUGCUUUUGUACGGGAAGAAACACUCCUACGUGUAGGAACUUGACGGUACCGUAAGAAUAAGGAUCGGCUAACUCCGUGCCAGCCGCCGCCGUAAAAC